rnacentral:rRNA from 1 species
ACGAACGCUGGCGGCGUGCUUCACACAUGCAAGUCGAACGGAAAGGCCCUGCUUUUGUGGGGUGCUCGAGUGGCGAACGGGUGAGUAACACGUGAGUAACCUGCCCUUGACUUUGGGAUAACUUAAGGAAACUGGGGCUAAUACCGGAUAGGAGCUCCUGCUGCAUGGUGGGGGUUGGAAAGUUUCGGCGGUUGGGGAUGGACUCGCGGCUUAUCAGCUUGUUGGUGGGGUAGUGGCUUACCAAGGCUUUGACGGGUAGCCGGCCUGAGAGGGUGACCGGCCACAUUGGGACUGAGAUACGGCCCAGACUCCUACGGGAGGCAGCAGUGGGGAAUAUUGCACAAUGGGCGGAAGCCUGAUGCAGCAACGCCGCGUGCGGGAUGACGGCCUUCGGGUUGUAAACCGCUUUCGCCUGUGACGAAGCGUGAGUGACGGUAAUGGGUAAAGAAGCACCGGCUAACUACGUG